CAGGAAGCAGCUUGCUGCUUCGCUGACGAGUGGCGGACGGGUGAGUAAUGUCUGGGAAGCUGCCUGAUGGAGGGGGAUAACUACUGGAAACGGUAGCUAAUACCGCAUAAUGUCGCAAGACCAAAGAGGGGGCCUUCGGGCCUCUUGCCAUCGGAUGUGCCCAGAUGGGAUUAGCUUGUUGGUGGGGUAACGGCUCACCAAGGCGACGAUCCCUAGCUGGUCUGAGAGGAUGACCAGCCACACUGGAACUGAGACACGGUCCAGACUCCUACGGGAGGCAGCAGUGGGGAAUAUUGCACAAUGGGCGCAAGCCUGAUGCAGCCAUGCCGCGUGUAUGAAGAAGGCCUUCGGGUUGUAAAGUACUUUCAGCGGGGAGGAAGGGAGUAAAGUUAAUACCUUUGCUCAUUGACGUUACCCGCAGAAGAAGCACCGGCUAACUCCGUGCCAGCAGCCGCGGUAAUACGGAGGGUGCAAGCGUUAAUCGGAAUUAUUGGGCGUAAAGGGUGCGUAGGCGGAUGUUAAGUGGGAUGUGAAAUCCCCGGGCUUACCUGGGGGCUGCAUUCCAAACUGGAUAUCUAGAGUGCAGGAGAGGAAAGCGGAAUUCCUAGUGUAGCGGUGAAAUGCGUAGAGAUUAGGAAGAACACCAGUGGCGAAGGCGGCUUUCUGGACUGUAACUGACGCUGAGGCACGAAAGCGUGGGUAGCAAACAGGAUUAGAUACCCUGGUAGUCCACGCCGUAAACGAUGGAUACUAGGUGUAGGGGGUAUCAACUCCCCCUGGCCGCAGUUAACACAAUAAGUAUCCCGCCUGGGGAGUACGGUCGCAAGAUUAAAACUCAAAGGAAUUGACGGGGGCCCGCACAAGCAGCGGAGCAUGUGGUUUAAUUCGAAGCAACGCGAAGAACCUUACCUGGACUUGACAUCCCUUGCAUAGCCUAGAGAUAGGUGAAGCCCUUCGGGGCAAGGAGACAGGUGGUGCAUGGUUGUCGUCAGCUCGUGUCGUGAGAUGUUAGGUUAAGUCCUGCAACGAGCGCAACCCUUAUCCUUUGUUGCCAGCGGUCCGGCCGGGAACUCAAAGGAGACUGCCAGUGAUAAACUGGAGGAAGGUGGGGAUGACGUCAAGUCAUCAUGGCCCUUACGACCAGGGCUACACACGUGCUACAAUGGCGCAUACAAAGAGAAGCGACCUCGCGAGAGCAAGCGGACCUCAUAAAGUGCGUCGUAGUCCGGAUUGGAGUCUGCAACUCGACUCCAUGAAGUCGGAAUCGCUAGUAAUCGUGGAUCAGAAUGCCACGGUGAUACGUUCCCGGGCCUUGUACACACCGCCCGUCACACCAUGGGAGUGGGUUGCAAAAGAAGUAGGU
rnacentral:rRNA from 1 species